rnacentral:rRNA from 1 species
GAUUAACGUUGGCGGCGUGCCUAAUACAUGCAAGUCGAAUGGGUUUAGGCCCAUGGCAAACGGGUGAGUAACACGUGGGUAUCUGCCCUGAACUGGGAAAUAACCAGCCGAAAGGUUGGCUAAUGUCCCAUAGUCCCGCAAGGGUAAAGAUUUAUCGGGGAAGGAUUAGCCCGCGUUGGAUUAGGUAGUUGGUGGGGUAAUGGCCUACCAAGCCGACGAUCCAUAGCUGGUUUGAGAGGAUGAUCAGCCACACUGGGACUGAGACACGGCCCAGACUCCUACGGGAGGCAGCAGUGGGGAAUCUUAGACAAUGGGGGCAACCCUGAUCUAGCCAUGCCGCGUGAGUGAUGAAGGCCUUAGGGUUGUAAAGCUCUUUCAGCUGGGAAGAUAAUGACGGCACUAGCAGAAGAAGCCCCGGCUAACUCCGUGCCAGCCGCCGCCGUAA